GAUGACCUCUAGCUACAGGCUUAACACAUGCAAGUCGAGGGGCAGCAUUUUAGUUUGCUUGCAAACUGAAGAUGGCGACCGGCGCACGGGUGAGUAACACGUAUCCAACCUGCCGAUAACUCCGGAAUAGCCUUUCGAAAGAAAGAUUAAUACCGGAUGGCAUACGAAUAUCGCAUGAUAUUUUUAUUAAAGAAUUUCGGUUAUCGAUGGGGAUGCGUUCCAUUAGUUUGUUGGCGGGGUAACGGCCCACCAAGACUACGAUGGAUAGGGGUUCUGAGAGGAAGGUCCCCCACAUUGGAACUGAGACACGGUCCAAACUCCUACGGGAGGCAGCAGUGAGGAAUAUUGGUCAAUGGGCGAGAGCCUGAACCAGCCAAGUAGCGUGAAGGAUGAAGGCUCUAUGGGUCGUAAACUUCUUUUAUAUGGGAAUAAAGUUUUCCACGUGUGGAAUUUUGUAUGUACCAUAUGAAUAAGGAUCGGCUAACUCCGUGCCAGCAGCCGCGGUAAUACGGAGGAUCCGAGCGUUAUCCGGAUUUAUUGGGUUUAAAGGGAGCGUAGGUGGAUUGUCAAGUCAGUUGUGAAAGUUUGCGGCUCAACCGUAAAAUUGCAGUUGAAACUGGCAGUCUUGAGUACAGUAGAGGUGGGCGGAAUUCGUGGUGUAGCGGUGAAAUGCUUAGAUAACAAGAAGAACUCCGAUUGCGAAGGCAGCUCACUAGACUGUUACUGACACUGAUGCUCGAAAGUGUGGGUAUCAAAGCGAGGAUUAGAUACCCUGGUAGUCCACACAGUAAACGAUGAAUGCUCGCUGUUUGCGAUAUACAGUAAGCGGCCAAGCGAAAGCAUUAA
rnacentral:rRNA from 1 species